UACGAUAGGCUAAUUAAGGGCGUAUGGGGAAUGCCUAGGCUCUCAGAGGCGAUGAAGGACGUGAUAAGCUGCGAAAAGUUACGGGGAAUGGCACACACAUUUUGAUCCGUAAAUAUCCGAAUAGGUCAACCUGAUUAUUUGAAGAAUAAUCAUCCAUCUUGUAUGGAAGCAAACCCGGAGAACUGAAACAUCUAAGUACCCGGAGGAAGAGAAAACAAUAGUGAUUCCGCUAGUAGUGGCGAGCGAACGUGGAAUAGCCCAAACCUAAGUUGUUACGGCAAUUUAGGGGUUGUAGGACCAUAAUAUUUGUUGCUCAAUGAAUUAGAAUCUGUUGGAAAUCAGAACCAUAGAGGGUGAUAGUCCCGUAUAAGUAAAGAAAGUUAACAAUAAUGGUAUCCUGAGUAGUACGGGGCACGGGAAACCUUGUAUGAAUCCGGCGGGACCAUCCGCCAAGGCUAAAUACUCCUGAGAGACCGAUAGUGAACUAGUACCGUGAGGGAAAGGUGAAAAGAACCCUGAAUAAGGGAGUGAAAUAGAUCCUGAAACCAUACGCUUACAAGCGGUCGGAGCCCAUUAGGGUGACGGCGUGCCUUUUGCAUAAUGAGCCUACGAGUUAACGUUGCUAGCAAGGUUAAGUACUUUAGGUACGAAGCCGUAGCGAAAGCGAGUCUGAAUAGGGCGAUUCAGUUAGCAGUGUUAGACGCGAAACCGUGUGAUCUACCCAUGGGCAGGGUGAAGCUGUGGUAACACACAGUGGAGGCCCGAACCCGUAGACGUUGAAAAGUCUUGGGAUGACCUGUGGGUAGGGGUGAAAGGCCAAUCAAACUCG
rnacentral:rRNA from 1 species